rnacentral:rRNA from 1 species
UACGGAGGGUGCAAGCGUUAGUCGGAAUUAUUGGGCGUAAAGGGUGCGUAGGCGGGGAUGUAAGUCAGACGUGAAAUUCCGAGGCUCAACCUCGGAGCGGCAUCUGAAACUGCGUUUCUAGCGGAAUGGCGGAGAAAACGGAAUUCCACGUGUAGCGGUGAAAUGCGUAGAUAUGUGGAAGAACACCUGUGGCGAAAGCGGUUUUCUAGCCUACUCCAGACGCUGAGGCACGAAAGCAAGGGGAUCAAACAGG